rnacentral:rRNA from 1 species
UACAGAGGGGGCAAGCGUUGUUCGGAAUUACUGGGCGUAAAGGGCGCGUAGGCGGCCGCCUAAGUCAGACGUGAAAUCCCUCGGCUCAACCGGGGAACUGCGUCUGAUACUGGGUGGCUUGAAUUCGGGAGAGGGAUGCGGAAUUCCAGGUGUAGCGGUGAAAUGCGUAGAUAUCUGGAGGAACACCGGUGGCGAAGGCGGCAUCCUGGACCGAUAUUGACGCUGAUGCGCGAAAGCCAGGGGAGCAAACGGG